ACUCCUACGGGAGGCAGCAGUGGGGAAUAUUGCACAAUGGGCGCAAGCCUGAUGCAGCCAUGCCGCGUGUAUGAAGAAGGCCUUCGGGUUGUAAAGUACUUUCAGCAGUGAGGAAGGUGGGAGUUCAGUUAAUAGCGCUUCAUUUUGACGUUAGCUGCAGAAGAAGCACCGGCUAACUCCGUGCCAGCAGCCGCGGUAAUACGGAGGGUGCGAGCGUUAAUCGGAAUUACUGGGCGUAAAGCGCAUGCAGGUGGUUUGUUAAGUCAGAUGUGAAAGCCCGGGGCUCAACCUCGGAAU
rnacentral:rRNA from 1 species